rnacentral:tRNA from 1 species
UGUUCUGUGGCUUAGUUGGUUAAAGCGCUGGUCUAGCGAAUACGGAGUCGUGGGUUCGAGUCCCACCAGAACGC